rnacentral:misc_RNA from 1 species
AAGUCGUAACAAGGUUUCCGUAGGUGAACCUGCGGAAGGAUCAUUAACACGUUUUAUUUAAAACCAAAACGUACUAAAACUCUGUGAACGAGAUUUCCAAAUAGUAUCUCACACCAAAUAAUAAUAUUACUUUAUUAAUAUUAUUAUAAUACUAUUCGUAGUAUUAUAAUACUAUAGUAGUAUUAUUAGAGUAUUAUUUGGGUAACAUAAAUCUCACCAUUUUUUCCCCAAUAUCACCAACCCCUAAAACUACUUAAUAUUUAUAGGUAUUCUUUCGAGAUACUUAUGAUAUUCUGUAUGUUUGUAACUAAACUUUUUAUCAUUUCAUGCCUAAAAAACAUGGAAGCAAAAAGAUGGUAUUAUCUUCGGAUAUAUCUUAUCUUUUUAUGAACCAAACUGUUGUACAACUCUUAGCAACGGAUAUCUUGGUUCCC